CUGAACCAGCCAAGUAGCGUGAAGGAAGAGUGCCCUAUGGGUUGUAAACUUCUUUUAUACGGGAAUAACGUCAUCCAGGUGUGGAUGUUUGUAUGUUCCGUAUGAAUAUAGAUCGGCUAACUCCGUGCCGACAGCCGCGGUAAUACGGAGGAUCCGAGCGUUAUCCGGAUUUAUUGGGUUUAAAGGGAGCGUAGGCGGGCUUUUAAGUCAGUUGUGAAAGUUUGCGG
rnacentral:rRNA from 1 species